GGGCUCGCUUAGGCAGCACACAUACUAAAAUUAGAAGGAUACAGAGAAGAUUAGCGUGGCCCCUGUGCGGGGGUGACACACAAUUCGUGAAGCUUCCAUACUUUUU
ensembl:snRNA U6 U6 spliceosomal RNA